UACAGAGGGUGCGAGCGUUGUCCGGAAUCACUGGGCGUAAAGGGCGCGUAGGCGGCCUGGUAAGUAGGGGGUGAAAUCCUGCGGCUCAACCGCAGGGCUGCCUCCUAAACUGUCAGGCUGGAGCACGGUAGAGGCAGAUGGAAUUCCCGGUGUAGCGGUGGAAUGCGUAGAGAUCGGGAAGAACACCAGUGGCGAAGGCGGUCUGCUGGGCCGUUGCUGACGCUGAGGCGCGACAGCGUGGGGAGCAAACAGG
rnacentral:rRNA from 1 species